rnacentral:rRNA from 1 species
GUUGUUUAGUUGAAAAUCAAUUAAAUAAUUUUUGAUUUUAAGUAGUAUUGACUUCAUCAGCUUGCUGCUUUCUUUUCGGAAAUUAUUUAAUGCACUUUUCAGUUAACAAGUCAACAUCAAUUUCUUUUGUUGUAAAAGGGUAAGAGGAAGGUGGCUUACAUUUCGGUGUAAGUGUUUAUAGCCUUUUACCUCUGCAAUCGGAGAGAUUGAGGUCAGCAGCGUAGACUCUUCGGGGUUAGAUACGCUUGUGCUAAGCUAUAGCCUUGUAUAGACAACUUGUUGACUAUGCUCAGUCAUGUAGCUUACUCGCUUGCAGUAUUUUACCUAC